GGCUGCCUGUAUUGUGUUGUUGAAUUAAAGAAGUAGUCCUUGGUUAUUUAGUUUAAAGCUACAUUCUGGGAUUUGAAUGACAACAAAACCGCGUCCUGCGGUGUUCUACACAUCUACACUACUAUAACAGGUCAGUUAUCUGGUGAUAGUAUAGUGUUGACAUCUACACUACUAUAACAGGUCAGUUAUCUGGUGAUAGUAUAGUGUUGACAUCUACACUACUAUAACAGGUCAGUUAUCUGGUGAUAGUAUAGUGUUGACAUCUACACUACUAUAACAGGUCAGUUAUCUGGUGAUAGUAUAGUUCUGACAUCUACACUACUAUAACAGGUCAGUUAUCUGGUGAUAGUAUAGUGUUCUACACAUCUACACUACUGUAACAGGUCAGUUAUCUGGUGAUAGUAUAGUGUUGACA
ensembl:lncRNA